rnacentral:rRNA from 1 species
AUUAUCGGAGAGUUUGAUCCUGGCUCAGGACGAACGCUGGCGGCGUGCCUAAUACAUGCAAGUCGAGCGGACAGAUGGGAGCUUGCUCCCKGAUGUUAGCGGCGGACGGGUGAGUAACACGUGGGUAACCUGCCUGUAAGACUGGGAUAACUCCGGGAAACCGGGGCUAAUACCGGAUGCUUGUUUGAAYCGCAUGGUUCAAACAUAAAAGGUGGCUUCGGCUACCACUUACAGAUGGACCCGCGGCGCAUUAGCUAGUUGGUGAGGUAACGGCUCACCAAGGCAACGAUGCGUAGCCGACCUGAGAGGGUGAUCGGCCACACUGGGACUGAGACACGGCCCAGACUCCUACGGGAGGCAGCAGUAGGGAAUCUUCCGCAAUGGACGAAAGUCUGACGGAGCAACGCCGCGUGAGUGAUGAAGGUUUUCGGAUCGUAAAGCUCUGUUGUUAGGGAAGAACAAGUACCGU